CGCGCGGGCUGCAGGGCAAGCUGCAAGGGCGAGUGUGCGGCUGCCUUCAGCUUUUCAGCCGCGAGUGGGGUGGUGUGGAGCGGCGGGGUCAGCUCAGGGCAGGCGGAUGGGGCGCAUGUGCCCAGGGCAGAGCCCUCCGGCCUUGGCUGGGAGAGUGGCCUUCGGUCCCAGGGCAGAGCUCAGCCCCCAGGGCCGGGCCUCCCGAGGGCCGCGGACCGUGGGGACAUGGGGCAGGCGUGGAGCCGGACCCGAAGCCAAGCCUUAGAUCUGUGCGGGCAGAUGCGUGGCCGAGGCUGUUAAACCGGUGCUGUAAAGGCCUCGUUUUCUCUCCCUGAGCGGCUCCCCACAUCCCCAUGCUGAGAAGAGGCCGCUUCUCCUCUCCCGUCAGCUGUGCCCCCGGGUGCAGCAGCUACGGGUCCAGCCCUUUAAAGGUUGAAGACGAUCACCCACCCCAUGCUUUCCCAGCAAGGAACAGGUCUUGCUUUUAUGAGGGUAGAGAGGACAUUCAAGUGGUCGGUCUUGGAAAACUGCCAUCCGAAGGAUUGCAAACAUUCUUGGGGGGAGAGAAGAAUUUGUCCCCGGGUGGAGGAGGACUGCUGGGGGCUCGAGGCCGCUGAUGAAGGGAAUUCAUUUCCUCUCCCGGGUGCCCAGGAUUCAGACUGAUCCAGACAUCUGUUGGGCGGGCAGCCAGUAUGCCCCCGGCGUGCUUAGAGAAGUGGCUUUCUUUGCCCUCCUGAGGAUAGAUUUACACAGUCCUGAGUCUGCAGGUUAUUUUUUGUGCAUGGGGACUUGAGAGCCAAGAAUAGUCUGCAGCAAGAAGGAUGCACCGUCUUCAAGGCUGCCCCUCUACAACAGAGCAAGUCGGCGGGGCAUGGUGGCUCACACCUGUAAUCCCAGGACUUUGGGAGGCUGAGGCAGGCGGAUCACCUGAGGUCAGAAGUUUGAGACCAGCCUGGCCAACAUGGCAAAACCCAUGGUUUUUUUAGUCUCUACUAAAAAUACAAAAAAAUUAGCCGGGCGUGGUGGCGUGUGUCUGUACUCCCAGCUACUCGGGAGGCUGAGGCAGGAGAAACGCUUGAAUCCGAGAGGCGGAGGUUGCAGAGUCCACCUUGCCCAAGUGAUGUGAAUGGCUUGAGGCAGGAGGAAAGGCUGUGAGAACCCCUGCGGCAGUCGGUGCAGGGCAGAGAAGGAGCAGCCUUGGACUGGGGAUCCUGAGUAGUCCUGUCUGGGAAUGGAGGGCACUGAAUUGGCACCCUCCUUGGAGGCCACAUGGCCCAAACAUGGGCAUUUCUGCUGGUGAUGGGAUCUCUCCCUUCUGCCAGCUGGUCUCUGCCCUGUUUGAGCUGGGAAAGUUUGCUGAAGGCUGCAGCCUGUUCUGAGUUGGAUGGUAGAAAUGUAGGAAAUACACCAACACAUCGGCCAUGAUUAUUUCUGGACACUGAAAUUACAAAGAUGGUUUUGUUUUUGUUUUUUCUUUACACCCUUUCUGUCAAACAUUUCUGCAAAAAGUGUGUAUUAUUUUCAGGAUAUAUUAAAUGUAUAGUAUUUUAAUGUUAAGGCAAUCAAUAUAAUUGUUAAUAUAAUAUUUUAAUAUAAAUAAACAAAAUGUCACAAUUA
rnacentral:lncRNA from 1 species